UACGGAGGAUGCGAGCGUUAUCCGGAUUUAUUGGGUUUAAAGGGUGCGUAGGCGGACUGUCAAGUCAGCAGUAAAAUUGAGAGGCUCAACUUCUUCCCGCCGUUGAAACUGGUGGUCUUGAGUGGAUGAGAAGUACGCGGAAUGCGUGGUGUAGCGGUGAAAUGCAUAGAUAUCACGCAGAACUCCGAUUGCGAAGGCAGCGUACCGGCAUCCAACUGACGCUGAGGCACGAAAGCGUGGGGAUCAAACAGG
rnacentral:rRNA from 1 species